UACGGAGUGUGCAAGUCGUUACUCGGAAUCACUGGGCAUAAAGGGCGCGUAGGCGGGUUUCCAAGUCGGUUGUGAAAUCCCUCAGCUCAACUGAGGAACUGCAUCCGAUACUGUUUGUCUUGAGGACGGGAGGGGAGAGUGGAACUUCUGGUGAAGCGGUGAAAUGCGUAGAUAUCAGAAGGAACGCCGGUGGCGAAAGCGACUCUCUGGCCCGUAAUCUGACGCU
rnacentral:rRNA from 1 species